AAUGAACGUUGGCGGCGUGGAUUAGGCAUGCAAGUCGAGCGAGAACCCCGCAAGGGGGGACAGCGGCGCAAGGGACAGUAAUGUGUAGAUCAUCUGCCCUCAGGUCCGGGAUAGCUGCGGAAAACUGCAGGUAAUACCGGAUAACAUCUCCGGAUCAACGGUUUGAUUCCGCCUGAGGAUGAGUCUGAAUCCUAUUAGCUAGUUGGCAGGGUAACGGCCUACCAAGGCAUUGAUGGGCAGCGGGUGUGAGAGCACGACCCGCAUCAUUGGGACUGAGACACGGCCCAGACACCUACGGGUGGCUGCAGUCGAGAAUCUUCGGCGAUGGGCGCAAGCCUGACCGAGCGACGCCGCGUGUGGGAUGAAGGCCUUCGGGUUGUAAACCACUGUCAGAGGGGAUGAAAUGCAGGUGGGUUCUCCCAUCUGUUUGACAUAGCCUCAGAGGAAGGACGGGCUAAGUUCGUGCCAGCCGCCGCAGUAA
rnacentral:rRNA from 1 species